AUCCAGUGGACAAGUCCUAAAUAGGACGAAAUGCGCAUCUUGGAU
rnacentral:hammerhead_ribozyme from 1 species